rnacentral:lncRNA from 1 species
GAGAUCUGAAAUCAGGGACUGCAGAAACAGAACCUGUAGAGCAAGAUUCUUCACAGCCUUCCUUACCUUUAGUGAGAGCAGAUGAUCCUUUAAGACUUGACCAGGAGUUGCAGCAGCCCCAAACUCAGGAGAAAACAAGUAAUUCAUUAACAGAAGACUCAAAAAUGGCUAAUGCAAAGCAGCUAAGCUCAGAUGCAGAGGCCCAGAAGCUGGGGAAGCCCUCUGCCCAUGCCUCACAAAGCUUCUGUGAAAGUUCUAGUGAGCCUGCAACUGGUGAAAGAAAAAAUGGAUCUACUGCUGUUGCUGAGUCUGUUGCCAGGUAACCAAAGCUGGAUGCUAUUUAGAGUUUAAUACACAGCUACUGGUGAUGAGGGUAGAUGGUUUAUCAACAAAGGAAAAAAGUUAAAAUGAGAAAGUUAAAAUGAGACUCUUUCAUAAAGGAUUUAGCAAUGUUUUGAAUGGAUCAUAGACUUUUUAGUUAAUACUUUUUUAAGUUCAGUGAAGCUUUUUUCUACACCUAGAACUAAGAUAAUUGAAAUGUCUUUACUUUUGUUCAUGUGAGAGUUCCUUUCCCCCCUUUUUUCUG